CACGGGGGGAGCAAGCGUUGUUCGGAAUCACUGGGCGUAAAGGGCGUGUAGGCGGUCAGGUAAGUGAAAUGUGAAAUGCCUCGGCUCACCCGAGGACCGGCAUCUCAUACUGCCUGACUUGAGUACGGGAGAGGAUGUGGGAAUUCCUGGUGUAGCGGUGAAAUGCGUAGAUAUCUGGAGGAACACCGGUGGCGAAGGCGGCAUCCUGGACCGGUAUUGACGCUGAGGCGCGAAAGCCAGGGGAGCAAACGGG
rnacentral:rRNA from 1 species